rnacentral:rRNA from 1 species
UACGGAGGGUGCGAGCGUUAAUCGGAAUUACUGGGCGUAAAGGGCGCGUAGGCGGCACGAUCAGUCUGAUGUGAAAGCCCCGGGCUUAACCUGGGAACGGCAUUGGAUACUGUCGAGCUAGAGUUUGAUAGAGGGGAGUGGAAUUUCCGGUGUAGCGGUGAAAUGCGUAGAGAUCGGAAGGAACACCAGUGGCGAAGGCGACUCCCUGGAUUAAAACUGACGCUGAGGUGCGAAAGCGUGGGUAGCAAACAGG